rnacentral:rRNA from 1 species
UUAAGCGACUAAGCGUACACGGUGGAUGCCCUGGCAGUCAGAGGCGAUGAAGGACGUGCUAAUCUGCGAUAAGCGUCGGUAAGGUGAUAUGAACCGUUAUAACCGGCGAUUUCCGAAUGGGGAAACCCAGUGUGUUUCGACACACUAUCAUUAACUGAAUCCAUAGGUUAAUGAGGCGAACCGGGGGAACUGAAACAUCUAAGUACCCCGAGGAAAAGAAAUCAACCGAGAUUCCCCCAGUAGCGGCGAGCGAACGGGGAGCAGCCCAGAGCCUGAAUCAGUGUGUGUGUUAGUGGAAGCGUCUGGAAAGGCGCGCGAUACAGGGUGACAGCCCCGUACAUAAAAAUGCACAUGCUGUGAGCUCGAUGAGUAGGGCGGGACACGUGGUAUCCUGUCUGAAUAUGGGGGACCAUCCUCCAAGGCUAAAUACUCCUGACUGACCGAUAGUGAACCAGUACCGUGAGGGAAAGGCGAAAAGAACCCCGGCGAGGGGAGUGAAAAAGAACCUGAAACCGUGUACGUACAAGCAGUGGGAGCCUCUUUUAUGGGGUGACUGCGUACCUUUUGUAUAAUGGGUCAGCGACUUAUAUUCUGUAGCAAGGUUAACCGAAUAGGGGAGCCGAAGGGAAACCGAGUCUUAACUGGGCGUUAAGUUGCAGGGUAUAGACCCGAAACCCGGUGAUCUAGCCAUGGGCAGGUUGAAGGUUGGGUAACACUAACUGGAGGACCGAACCGACUAAUGUUGAAAAAUUAGCGGAUGACUUGUGGCUGGGGGUGAAAGGCCAAUCAAACCGGGAGAUAGCUGGUUCUCCCCGAAAGCUAUUUAGGUAGCGCCUCGUGAAUUCAUCUCCGGGGGUAGAGCACUGUUUCGGCAAGGGGGUCAUCCCGACUUACCAACCCGAUGCAAACUGCGAAUACCGGAGAAUGUUAUCACGGGAGACACACGGCGGGUGCUAACGUCCGUCGUGAAGAGGGAAACAACCCAGACCGCCAGCUAAGGUCCCAAAGUCAUGGUUAAGUGGGAAACGAUGUGGGAAGGCCCAGACAGCCAGGAUGUUGGCUUAGAAGCAGCCAUCAUUUAAAGAAAGCGUAAUAGCUCACUGGUCGAGUCGGCCUGCGCGGAAGAUGUAACGGGGCUAAACCAUGCACCGAAGCUGCGGCAGCGACGCUGAUGCGUUGUUGGGUAGGGGAGCGUUCUGUAAGCCUGUGAAGGUGUACUGUGAGGUAUGCUGGAGGUAUCAGAAGUGCGAAUGCUGACAUAAGUAACGAUAAAGCGGGUGAAAAGCCCGCUCGCCGGAAGACCAAGGGUUCCUGUCCAACGUUAAUCGGGGCAGGGUGAGUCGACCCCUAAGGCGAGGCCGAAAGGCGUAGUCGAUGGGAAACAGGUUAAUAUUCCUGUACUUGGUGUUACUGCGAAGGGGGGACGGAGAAGGCUAUGUUGGCCGGGCGACGGUUGUCCCGGUUUAAGCGUGUAGGCUGGUUUUCCAGGCAAAUCCGGAAAAUCAAGGCUGAGGCGUGAUGACGAGGCACUACGGUGCUGAAGCAACAAAUGCCCUGCUUCCAGGAAAAGCCUCUAAGCAUCAGGUAACAUCAAAUCGUACCCCAAACCGACACAGGUGGUCAGGUAGAGAAUACCAAGGCGCUUGAGAGAACUCGGGUGAAGGAACUAGGCAAAAUGGUGCCGUAACUUCGGGAGAAGGCACGCUGAUAUGUAGGUGAAGUGAUUUACUCAUGGAGCUGAAAUCAGUCGAAGAUACCAGCUGGCUGCAACUGUUUAUUAAAAACACAGCACUGUGCAAACACGAAAGUGGACGUAUACGGUGUGACGCCUGCCCGGUGCCGGAAGGUUAAUUGAUGGGGUCAGCGCAAGCGAAGCUCUUGAUCGAAGCCCCGGUAAACGGCGGCCGUAACUAUAACGGUCCUAAGGUAGCGAAAUUCCUUGUCGGGUAAGUUCCGACCUGCACGAAUGGCGUAAUGAUGGCCAGGCUGUCUCCACCCGAGACUCAGUGAAAUUGAACUCGCUGUGAAGAUGCAGUGUACCCGCGGCAAGACGGAAAGACCCCGUGAACCUUUACUAUAGCUUGACACUGAACAUUGAGCCUUGAUGUGUAGGAUAGGUGGGAGGCUUUGAAGUGUGGACGCCAGUCUGCAUGGAGCCGACCUUGAAAUACCACCCUUUAAUGUUUGAUGUUCUAACGUGGACCCGUAAUCCGGGUUGCGGACAGUGUCUGGUGGGUAGUUUGACUGGGGCGGUCUCCUCCUAAAGAGUAACGGAGGAGCACGAAGGUUGGCUAAUCCUGGUCGGACAUCAGGAGGUUAGUGCAAUGGCAUAAGCCAGCUUGACUGCGAGCGUGACGGCGCGAGCAGGUGCGAAAGCAGGUCAUAGUGAUCCGGUGGUUCUGAAUGGAAGGGCCAUCGCUCAACGGAUAAAAGGUACUCCGGGGAUAACAGGCUGAUACCGCCCAAGAGUUCAUAUCGACGGCGGUGUUUGGCACCUCGAUGUCGGCUCAUCACAUCCUGGGGCUGAAGUAGGUCCCAAGGGUAUGGCUGUUCGCCAUUUAAAGUGGUACGCGAGCUGGGUUUAGAACGUCGUGAGACAGUUCGGUCCCUAUCUGCCGUGGGCGCUGGAGAACUGAGGGGGGCUGCUCCUAGUACGAGAGGACCGGAGUGGACGCAUCACUGGUGUUCGGGUUGUCAUGCCAAUGGCACUGCCCGGUAGCUAAAUGCGGAAGAGAUAAGUGCUGAAAGCAUCUAAGCACGAAACUUGCCCCGAGAUGAGUUCUCCCUGACCCUUUAAGGGUCCUGAAGGAACGUUGAAGACGACGACGUUGAUAGGCCGGGUGUGUAAGCGCAGCGAUGCGUUGAGCUAACCGGUACUAAUGAACCGUGAGGCUUAACCUU